UACGUAGGGUGCGAGCGUUACUCGGAAUUCCUGGGCGUAAAGUGUGCGCAGGCGGCCGAGCAAGUCGAGUGUGAAAGCCCCGAGCUUAACUUGGGAAUUGCGCUCGAAACUACCUGGCUGGAGUGCGGCAGAGGAAGGUGGAAUUCCAGGUGUAGCGGUGAAAUGCGUAGAGAUCUGGAGGAACACCGAUGGCGAAGGCAGCCUUCUGGGCCAACACUGACGCUCAUGCACGAAAGCGUGGGGAGCAAGCAGG
rnacentral:rRNA from 1 species